UGUGGAUUUACGAAGGCAACGAUGAUA
rnacentral:piRNA from 1 species